AUGUCAAAAGGAAAGAAGGCCAAGGGGAAGAAGGUGGCUCUGGCCCCUGCUGUCAUGAAGUAGGUGGCCAAGAAAGUGGUGAAUCCCCUGUUUGGGAAAAGGCCUAAGAAUUUUGGCACUGGACAGGACAUCCAGCCCAAAAGAGACCUCACCUGCUUUGUGAAAUGGCCCCACUAUAUCAGGUUGCAGUGGCAGAGAGCCAUCCUUUUUAAGUGGCUGAAAGUGCCUCCUGCAAUUAACCAGUUCACCCGGCCCUGGACCACCAAACAACUACUCAGCUGCUUAAGCUGGCCCACAAGUACAGACCAGAGAGCAAGAGAAGAAGCAGAGGUGGUUGGCCCAAGCUGAAAAGGAAGCUGCCAGCAAAGGGGAUGUCCCCACUAAGAGACCACCUGUUCUUUGAGCAGGAGUUAACACUGUCACCACCUUGGUGGAGAACAAGAAAGCUCAGCUGGUGGUGAUUGCAGAUGACGUGGAUCUGGACGUCUACUCCACAGGAAGACCUGCACCACUGUCGCCUUCACACAGGUUAACUUGGAAGACAAAGGAGCUUUGGCUAAGCUGUUGUAAGCUAUCAGGACCAAUUACAAUGACAGAUACGAUGAGAUCUGCCAUCAAUGGGGAAGUAAUGUCCUGGGUCCCAAGUCUGUGGCUCACAUUGCCAAGCUCAAAAAGGCAAAGGCUAAAGAACUUGCCACUAAACUGGGUUAA
rnacentral:lncRNA from 1 species